rnacentral:rRNA from 1 species
GAUGAACGCUGGCGGCGUGCCUAAUACAUGCAAGUCGAGCGAACAGACGAGGAGCUUGCUCCUCUAACGUUAGCGGCGGACGGGUGAGUAACACGUGGAUAACCUACCUAUAAGACUGGGAUAACUUCGGGAAACCGGAGCUAAUACCGGAUAAUAUAUUGAACCGCAUGGUUCAAUAGUGAAAGACGGUUUUGCUGUCACUUAUAGAUGGAUCCGCGCCGCAUUAGCUAGUUGGUAAGGUAACGGCUUACCAAGGCAACGAUGCGUAGCCGACCUGAGAGGGUGAUCGGCCACACUGGAACUGAGACACGGUCCAGCCUCCUACGGGAGGCAGCAGUAGGGAAUCUUCCGCAAUGGGCGAAAGCCUGACGGAGCAACGCCGCGUGAGUGAUGAAGGUCUUCGGAUCGUAAAACUCUGUUAUUAGGGAAGAACAAAUGUGUAAGUAACUAUGCACGUCUUGACGGUACCUAAUCAGAAAGCCACGGCUAACUACGUG